rnacentral:rRNA from 1 species
AACGAACGCUGGCGGCAGGCCUAACACAUGCAAGUCGAGCGCACUCUUCGGAGUGAGCGGCGGACGGGUUAGUAACGCGUGGGAACGUACCCAGAUCUAAGGAAUAGCCACUGGAAACGGUGAGUAAUACCUUAUACGCCCUUCGGGGGAAAGAUUUAUCGGAUUUGGAUCGGCCCGCGUUAGAUUAGAUAGUUGGUGGGGUAACGGCCUACCAAGCCUACGAUCUAUAGCUGGUUUUAGAGGAUGAUCAGCAACACUGGGACUGAGACACGGCCCAGACUCCUACGGGAGGCAGCAGUGGGGAAUAUUGCACAAUGGGGGAAACCCUGAUGCAGCCAUGCCGCGUGUGUGAAGAAGGCCUUCGGGUUGUAAAGCACUUUCAGUAGGGAGGAAAGGUUAGUAGCUAAUAUCUGCUAGCUGUGACGUUACCUACAGAAGAAGCACCGGCUAACUCCGU